ACAUGAUUGCCUCCCGUUCUCUAACUCGUGUUCUAAGCCGGUGACAAAGUUCGGAGACCAAUGUGUGCGCUGUCCGCCCUCGAGCCUCUGUGAUCGGCAUCCCCAGCGGUGUCAGAAUCUGCGGGGCCUUCGUGCUCGGCGGCAGCCGCCGGAGCGUCGCUCUCCGCCACGCCGGUGGCCGGACGACUGCCGCCUUCGCACCCCUGCCUCGAUGGAGGAAUUGCUCGACAACUUCAAUUGCCUCGGAAAGAAGUCUGCCCUCUUCGGCGUUGCCUUCUAAUCUUCCCAAGACGAUUAUAAAGGCAAAGAGCAUCACUCAUGUUGGCAUGUAGAUGAUGCAGAGCAUCUGAAACUACUAUGUGUUGGUGAAAUGAUACAAAGGAAUACUAGCACUGAGAAGCGGGUUGGCCGUUCACCAAUAAGUUAGCUGAUUAAGAGCAUUAAACACCAUGCACCAUCUCAGCCAUUUGAGCUUGCAAUUUUCUUCGCCAUAAUUUCCUAAAUCUUUGCUUUGUUAGAUUAUCUACAAUCUUCUGGUAAUCAAAUCUGUCUUCCAUUCGUUGACUUCAUGUAUUAGUCAAUGUUGAUGCAAAGACUGUAACCAUUGAAGGUGUUGUGUUAACCUAGUCGAA